rnacentral:rRNA from 1 species
UACGUAGGCAGCGAGCGUUGUUCGGAGUUACUGGGCGUAAAGCGUGCGUAGGCGGUGUCUUAAGUUUGUUGUGAAAUCUCCCGGCUCAACUGGGAGGGUGCGGCGAAUACUGAGAUGCUGGAGUGCGGGAGAGGUAAGCGGAAUUCCUGGUGUAGCGGUGAAAUGCGUAGAUAUCAGGAGGAACACCUGCGGUGUAGACGGCUUACUGGACCGUAACUGACGCUGAGGCACGAAAGCGUGGGGAGCAAACAGG